rnacentral:lncRNA from 1 species
GCCUGGCUGGGACCGAGUCACCUCUCCCACUUUCAGUCUGGCUCUGGAGCCAUUCCGCCCAGCGUUGGAGUGCCAGCUUGGCCACCGUCCAGCGGAAUGACCUCUGCAUGACGCCUAACCUCUGCGAGCAAGCCUGUUUUCUCCUCUGUAAAAUGGGAGCAGUCAUCCUCCCGCCGCCGGGGACAUUUGUGUGCUUCCCAGCUUGGGUUUGGUAAGCGGAAGAUAUUCCAUAAAGGACAGCUCUUCCCCGCCACCCACUCCACGAGUUACUCACAUCACCUGCAGGGCACCUAACCACAUCUAUGGUCGCUCGCACCACGAAGGCCUUCAGUGAUGACCAAAUGCCACCCUUUUUCACCAACCAAGAGGCCCUUGGAUCUCAGAUCUCCAUCUUGUCUAUCAAUUUGCAGUUAUUAAUACAAACGACAGCAUAUGUAUCAAUCAUGUCUUCAUAUUUUCAUUCAUCAAGAACACAUCUAUACAGUACCCUUUAUAUUUUUAAACAGUAUUAAACCUAUUUGUUUAAAGAGUAGGUACACGGUUCUUGCAAAUGGCUCACCUGUAAUCCCAGCACUUUGGGAGGCCAAGGCAGACAGACUGCUUGAGCCCAGGAGUUCCAGACAAGCCCUGGAAACAUGGCAAAACCUCAUCUCUACAAAAAAAUGCAAAAAUUAGCCGGGCGUAGUGGCGCAUGCCUGUGGUCCCAGUUACUCAGGAGGCUGAGGUGGAAGGAUCACUUGAGCCCAGGAGGUGGAAGCUGCAGUGAGUCGAGAUCAUGCCACUGCACUCCAGCCUGGGCAACAGAGUGAAACUUUGUACCCCCCGCCCCCACACCAAAAGAAAUAGUUGGGAUUAUCUCUGGAACUCUGCUGCUGUCUUUGAGCUUCCAAGGAUGGAGGUAGGAUUUGGAACCACUGAUAAGACCUUCCCUAGAUUUUAUAGAGAAAACUGCUGUUCAGGGAGGGGACAUAACUAGGAAUCUGACACCUGCUUAGAGAAACCUCUGAUCCUUCCCUGUGUCCUUCAGAGUGAUUUGAUGCCAAGAAGGUGUUUAUCAUGCCUGGUGACCACAUUGAUGGCCUCUGCCUCUUUCUCCCCAACAUAGUUUCUACCCAGAGCCUGGAGCAUAGAUAGUAAAUAAUCAGGAAAUAGUUGCUGGGUUGAUGAUUGAAUGAAUAGGUGGAGAGACGCAUGGAUGCCCAGAUUUUGCUCCUCUUUGAAGCCUGAGCGGCUUCUUUGGUUUUGUACUUUUCUCCCUCUCCUUGCCCACAGGACAGCUGCUCAACAUGUGGGCUCUGUACCCAGUAGGUGACUAAUAAAUAUGAGCAUCCUAUAGGCAGUUUGCCUGGAUGGCAACUGAUUGACCUAAGGUCAGCCCUCAGCCAGCUGCUGGGAAUGCAUGCUCCAGGAUCCCCUGAAACAACAUGUACGGUGGGAGAGGGUAAUAGGUGAGAGUGACCAGAUGGGUAUCAGAGGCCUAGGUACCAGGCCAGAAGACCGGGCCACGCCCAAACUCUGCACCUUCUUGCCCUAUCAUGUGCACACUAAGGAACUCUGCAUUUAAAAUGUCAGAGGUUCCAAGCCCUCACUUUACAAAGGAGGAGGUACCAUGGCCCAGAGAAGGAAAAGAACCAUCCCAGGGUCUCUCAGUAAACCUGAUAGCUAAGCCACCUGCUCCUAACCCACUACUACCUCCCAGCUCUCUCUUCAUUGAUCCCAGUGUGGCAGCAUUCAGGUGUGGCAGCUCUGGCCCCAUAUACUGUCCUCAGACUGGAAGGCAGGAGGGAGCACCCAGGUGAGGCUCACAUCCCUGUCCCCUUCCCUGUCCAGUGGCUCCAGCCAUCCCACAGUCUCCAGAAUGGGUCAGUGGAAUGAACACAAGAUUUGGAGGAAAGACCUGGCCCAGUGACCUUGGGUAGGCCUGCCCUCUCUGUAAACCUCAGUUUUUCCAGGUAUCAGAUGGGAAUGUUGAUCCCAUCCUUACCAACUUCUACAGUGACUGACAGGAUCCAAGGAGGAUGCAAAGAGGAAGGAGCUUUGCUGUUCCCUGAGUUUUUUUGUACUGUAUCACCCUUCUUAUGAUGAUGAUGUGAGAUGUUAAAGUGCCUGCUUGAUGAGGUGAAGUGAGAGACAGGAUCUUGCCCAGGCUGGAGUGCAGUGGCUAUUCACAAGUGCAAUCGUAGUGCACUACAGUCUUGGACUCCUGGCCUCAAGCAAUCCCACCUGUUUCCUGAGUAGCUGGACUAUAGGUUCCCUGACCUCCCUGGACCUCAGUUUCCAAAUCUGCUGAUGGAGGAUGAUGUUUUCAGUGCCUACACAGCUCCCAAAGUGAAGAUGAUAUGGAAACUGGGUGGUGUCGAGGACGGUCACACAGAGCCAAGGAGCAGAAAUGCUUGCCCUGCUUCUGCCAUGGUCUUCACAGUGAGAGACAGGCAGCUAUGCCCCUGAAUUCUCCAGGACCUGCCAAGUUGGGCCAUUUCAGAGAGGAGAAACUGAGACUCGGAGCUAUGUAAUCAGCAUACUGGAGCAUAGAAAGCAGAGACAGGCAGAAGGCAAGAACUCAGAGAUGGGAAAGGAAUCCUGACCCACCCAGAUUGGCAAAGCCAUUGCAGACCCAUGGUUCUGGGGUUUUCCUGUUGGCUCGCAAAGUGAUAUCAAGUCAGAGGUAUUGUUUUCCCUUGUCUCUGCCAUUGAUAAGACAGAGAAAAACAGCUCCCAUGAUAACAUUGAUGCUGCCAGCCCUUCCUGCUACUGGCUUUCCUGGUUGGAGUCCUCUCCUAUGCUCCUUCCUCUCUCUCCUUCCGGACUGAGAUUCAAGCCGAGAUGCCUUGUGGGGCAAAGGAGCCGGCGGUGAGGUUCCCUCCUUCAGUUGCUUCAGCAGGCACAUAGCUCCUUCUGAUCUUGGACAAAGCCCAAAAGGCUCUGAGGCAGUGGUGUGCUGGGGCAGGCUCAUACUGACUCAUUAGAGCCAAUUGCUAAAUUUCGGGGAAUCUUGUAAGCCAAUUGUUAAACACAGUCAUUAUUAAAAAUUAGAUGAUAUGAGAUUGCAACUAAAUAAUUUAUACUUUUUUAAAAGUAAUAAACACUCCUAACUCAUCAUGUCCUAUUUACUUUAUUGCAUUUUACUGUUAACUAUCCUCUGGAGGUAAUUUACAUAUUGUAUUUACAUGGUGGAAAUACCAUAUACUUGUGUACUAUUGUUCAUCUUUUCUCAAUUUGCACUUGAAACUGGUAGUUUUUAUGCCAUAGAAAUCAGCGAACACUGCAAAUCAAGGAUGUUUUAUUUUUUAGAGAGCUGGUGGUUAAAGAUUUACCAAGACACCACUGCUGCAGGUACUUUCCCUGAGAUACCACUCUGAGGACCCUGUGGUCCCAAGGCCACACAGUGAUCCGCAGAUAGGGAGUACCAGGAUGACUGCCCACAUCUUCAGUGGCCUCCACCACAAUGCGCACUUGUCCUCUGAGGCACUUUGCUGCCAUAAGUCUGUGUCACAGACAGGCUAGAUAUGCCGAACACUGUUUCCAUUUCUUUCUCUAUUUUAAAAUAUAUUAUUUUACAAUGGCUGUAUAUGAUCACUGUCAAACAUUUAAGCUAUCUAAUCCCAUCAGUGAGUGAGAACCUGUGUUAAUUUUGUAAUAUACAUAAUUCUUGUCUUUUAUCUAUGCAUAGACAUGUUUUUAACUUUUACUGUAAAAAUGGAUCAGAAGCUGCUUUUUCUGAUUUGAAUCCUACUUUUGUGUUUCAACUCUGCAAUAUAA